rnacentral:misc_RNA from 1 species
GCAAACUUGGUCAUUUAGAGGAAGUAAAAGUCGUAACAAGGUUUCCGUAGGUGAACCUGCGGAAGGAUCAUUAACGAAUCUGAAACAAAGCGCCCCGCGGCUGAUGCUGGCUCCUCGGAGCACGUGCACGCCUCUGGGCGCGAACCUUCAAUUCGCCUUACCCUCCCUUGUGCACUCCAUGUAGGUCGUCGAUGGCGCCUACGAUUUUUUCUGUAUGCACCCCAGUCGCAUGUAUAUUGUGCAGCUUCCUAAUGUGGAUAAUAACACAAAAAAAAAAAAAAAAUACAACUUUCAACAACGGAUCUCUUGGCUCUCGCAUCGAUGAAGAACGCAGC